CCUACGGGAGGCAGCAGUGGGGGAUAUUGCACAAUGGGGGAAACCCUGAUGCAGCGACGCCGCGUGUGGGAAGACGGUCCUCUGGAUUGUAAACCACUGUCCCCAGGGACGAAGAUGACGGUACCUGGGGAGGCAGCUCCGGCUAACUACGUGCCAGCAGCCGCGGUAAUACGUAGGGAGCGAGCGUUGUCCGGAAUUACUGGGUGUAAAGGGAGCGUAGGCGGGACUGCAAGUUGGGUGUCAAAUCUACCGGCUCAACCGGUAGCCGCACUCAAAACUGCAGUUCUUGAGUGAAGUAGAGGCAGGCGGAAUUCCGAGUGUAGCGGUGAAAUGCGGAGAUAUUAGGAGGAACCCCAGUGGCGAAGGCGGCCGGCUGGGCUUUGACUGACGCUGAGGCUCGAAAGUGUGGGGAGCAAACAGGAUUAGAUACCCGGGUAGUC
rnacentral:rRNA from 1 species